rnacentral:rRNA from 1 species
CGGGUGAGUAACGCGUGAGUAACCUGCCUUACACAAGGGGAUAGCCGUUGGAAACGACGAAUAAUACCCUAUGAAACUAUCACUUCGCAUGAAGCGAUAGUCAAAGCGUUAGCGGUGUAAGAUGGACUUGCGUCUGAUUAGCUAGUUGGUGAGAAAAAAGCCCACCAAGGCAACGAUCAGUAGCCGGCUUGAGAGAGUGUACGGCCACAUUGGGACUGAGACACGGCCCAG